CUUGGAUGAUCAAGGAUAAAAUAGUAAAUUUAAACUAACAAAUAUCCUAUCCUAUUGACUCUAGAACCAUCAUUUUCGUCAUAGUCAUUCCAAACAAACAACAGUCUUCUUACAAAAUCUCGCUCUUUCUUCUAAAAAAAAAAAAUUGUUCAUCAUCUCUCCAGAAACUCCAGAAGCAUCUUCCAUCAUCUAUUCAUUACUUCUCAUUCAACUCUUUUCUUCAUAAUAGUAUUAACACUGACUUCCUUUUUGUUUGAGGUUUACUGAUUUUCUUUUUAUUUCAGGUCUACAUGUUUCGACACAAACGCUUCAGUUAAAGCUUAAAGCAUCGGAAGAAUCGCUUAUUCGUAUUCGAAAUCAGUAUCUUGCUCUACACGCCAAAUUGAAAGAGAAAGAUGAAACAAGUGAGCGCAAUAGGAUUUAUACUGUUUCCCUUGUACUCUCAUCUUUAAUUUAAUUUGAGUAAAAUAAUAUAUGUUUGUUAUAAAUGUUGAUGAUCUUUUAUAUGCUUAUAUUAAAAUUUUAUUUGGUAGAUUGUAUAAGAAUAGUGUUGAACAAGGGUGGGGUAUUAGUAAAGCUGAGAUUAGUUAUUCUGAAUUUUAUCUGUUAUCCACUAUUUGAUUUAGUUAUCGUUUGGUACAAGGAAUAAAGGACUAAACCCGAGAUUAGCUUUAGAAUGGGCUCAUCCCAUGUUUGAUUGGAUAAAAUGCAUGGAUAACUUAUCCUAGGAAGAGAUAUCUCGGGAUUGUAGUGUCAUUUUAUCCCAUCUUGAGAUUGGAAUAACUAAUUCGGAGAUAAUUUAUUGCCCCGCCAAACGACCCCUUAGUGUAUUAAGGACAUUUCUAUCUUUAUUCAUGGUCAUCUACGUACUUCCUUUGUUUUAUACUACUUGGCUCUAUUGACUUGGCAAAUACUUUAAGAAAAUAUUAAUUAGAAAGACACUACAUCCUUUAUUCAAAUUCUGGCUUUGCCUCAGCCUACAACCCGCUAUACCCUCUACACCGAUUUAAUUCACAGGUGUAUCUAUGAUUUUAGUCCAUAGGUGCAGACUACUGUCUGAGUAUAUGUCGAUCAACGCAAGGAGAUUUGUUGUAUUGCCACUGCCGUCAAUAGAGUGUAUCUAUCACGAAAUUUGCUUAGCAUUAAUUUCAUGACUGUAACUUUUGGAUGCUUUGUGGUUCUGAGAUGGUUAGGUUUGUGUAGUGGAUGAUUCAGUGAAGUUCAAGGAGGCUGCCAAGCAUGGGAAUUUGAUUGCUUUUAAUUAUAUCUUAAAUAAGAGAACUUAAUAUUAUUUUUUAUUAGCAAUCUUUGGGUUUGCUGUGUCAUUUUUUUGGAAGUUCCAAUUUAUUGCUUUUCAUUUACGUGGAACCAACUCAUAUUGAUAUAAAUAGUUUUUAAUUAUAUCUUAAAUUAUUGACAUGGUAUAUUUUUUUUUUCCACAAAAUCAAGUGGCAGUAACUUCUCAUAUUUUCAUAUUUUAUUUCACAACUAUGAAAGUGGAUAAUAAGCAAGAAUAUGAAUGGUAUAGGAUAUUAUUAUCACCUUUUUGGUACUUGUGCCUAAAUUGUCUUAAAUGUAUAUUUCUCCUUUUUGGUUUUAUACAUGGCCUCUUCUCAUUUUCCUACUCUCUGUUUCGUUUUAAUUGGUCCUUAUUAAUUUAACAUAUUUUAUAAGAAAUUAUUUAAUAAAAAUUUAUUUUACUAAAAUAAUCUUAUUAAUUAUGCAUUGAAAAUAUAAAUCUAAGUAAAUAUAUUUUAUUUAAUCAUUUAAUCUUGAGAAUAAUAUUAAAAGAACAUAAUAAAAUCAUCUUGAUUUUAUCAAAGGGACAAUUAAAUUGAAACAAAUAAUUUUGAAAAGAGGGUUAACUAAAACGAAACGGAGGAAGUAUUAGGUUGUGUUUGAUACAGUGGAAAAUAUUUUAAUUUUUAUUUUUUUAAUGUUAAAUGAUCAAAAUUUUUGAAACAUAUUUUUUCUAAAAUAAUAUUUUUUAAAAAAAGAGAAAAAAUGACUCCUAUAUAAAUAAAAUCUGUAAUCUAUAUCUAUAAUUUAUAGUUUAUAAUCUAUAAUAAAAGUGUGAA
rnacentral:lncRNA from 1 species